rnacentral:rRNA from 1 species
AACGAACGCUGGCGGCAUGCCUAACACAUGCAAGUCGAACGAGACCUUCGGGUCUAGUGGCGCACGGGUGCGUAACGCGUGGGAACCUGCCCUUAGGUUCGGAAUAACUCCCCGAAAGGGGUGCUAAUACCGGAUAAUGUCUUCGGACCAAAGAUUUAUCGCCUUUGGAUGGUCCCGCGUUGGAUUAGCUAGUUGUUAGGGUAAAAGCCUACCAAGGCGACGAUCCAUAGCUGGUCUGAGAGGAUGAUCAGCCACACUGGGACUGAGACACGGCCCAGAAUCCUACGGGAGGCAGCAGUGGGGAAUAUUGGAAAAUGGGCGAAAGCCUGAUCCAGCAAUGCCGCGUGAGUGAUGAAGGCAUUAGGGUUGUAAAGCUCUUUUACCCGGGAUGAUAAUGACAGUACCGGGAGAAUAAGCUCCGGCUAACUCCGUG